ACCACGUGCUCACCCACGGCUGCUUCGACAUCUUCACCACGGAGGAGGACCACCCCUUUGCUGUGAAGUUGCUUGCGCUUUGUAAGAAAGAAAUCAAGAAUUCAAAAGACGUCCAGAAACUCCUGUCAGGCAUUGCAGUGUGAGUUUCAAGUGCUACUGGCCUUAGACGGAAUGGCAGGGCGCAGCUUCCCUUGGCUGAGGGCAGGAGUCCGCGGCUCCAGGCAGGAGAGGAGCAGUUAGUGUUACUCCUCACGCUAAGCUAAGAUCGUGCAUUCCAGUGUUCAAAGCAGUCGCAAUGGGAGGUGAGGCUGUCCAGGUGCUGGUGGAGGGAGUUCCCGCCGAAACAGGCGAGCUCCGCCCCUGCUGCCCUCGCGCUCUGCCCUGGGGGGUGGGGAGGCCCCGGAAAGGAGGUGCGUGGUCAGGGGCUGCCUCCCCAGUUCUCCUGUGUGCCCUGGGGGUCGUUGUUGAGUGCCUUGCUCUGCGGCGCUCAGGCGGACACUGGGCAGGUGUGCCAGCCAGCGACAGGCACCUUGGCUGCUCUGUGGCUCCUCGAGGCGGGGGUCCUCAUGGCGGGCGAGCGGCCCUGCAGGAGAUCCUGUGAGGCGUCCUCACUUCCCACAGUG
rnacentral:sRNA from 1 species